UAACCCCUCAAGCUCAGCUUGGUGUUGGGGCCUGCCAUCUGGCAGCCCUUAAAAUCAGUGGCGGUGCCAUCUGGCUCUAAGCGUAGUAAUUCUUCUCGCUAUAGAGUCCCGGUGGAUGCUUGCCAUUAACCCCCAAUUUUCUAU
rnacentral:misc_RNA from 1 species